rnacentral:rRNA from 1 species
AUACGUAGGGUGCGAGCGUUGUCCGGAAUUACUGGGCGUAAAGAGCUCGUAGGUGGUUUGUCGCGUCGUCUGUGAAAUUCCGGGGCUUAACUCCGGGCGUGCAGGCGAUACGGGCAUAACUUGAGUACUGUAGGGGAGACUGGAAUUCCUGGUGUAGCGGUGAAAUGCGCAGAUAUCAGGAGGAACACCGGUGGCGAAGGCGGGUCUCUGGGCAGUAACUGACGCUGAGGAGCGAAAGCAUGGGUAGCGAACAGGAUUAGAUGCCCUGGUAGUCCAUGCCGUAAACGGUGGGCGCUAGGUGUAGGGGUCUUCCACGACUUCUGUGCCGUAGCUAACGCAUUAAGCGCCCCGCCAGGGGAGUACGGCCGCAAGGCUAAAACUCAAAUGAAUUGACGGGG